ensembl:ncRNA lncRNA:CR31840 long non-coding RNA:CR31840
ACGAAAAUCAAAUAACAUGUGUACUCUGUACAUAUUGACAAACAAGCGGACGAGCGACAUACAUGCGAACCAGUACGGGUAUGCACGAGUAUGUACAUCGGUAUGUUCAUAUGUACAUCGGUAUGUCUCCUGCAACUCAUUCAAACUCAUUUCUAUACACCCCGCCCCAACUAACACUCGCAACCCAGACCUCGCUCACUCUCGCUCUCUGUCUUACUCGCUCUCCCCGAUUCUGGUUCUAUAUCUUUGCCCCUCCAUCGGAACCGACUGGUCAGCCGCAUAAGUGGCAAUUACAAUAUGGCAACCGGUAUUUAAAACUGUUUUUAAUGCCAGCAUUAGCACGAAAAUGAUGAGAAGUCUUGCCAAAGAUCGAUGUCC